UACAGGGGGGGCAAGCGUUGUUCGGAAUUACUGGGCGUAAAGGGUCUGUAGGUGGCCAACUAAGUCAGACGUGAAAUCCCUCAGCUUAACUGGGGAACUGCGUCUGAUACUGGAUGGCUUGAGUGUGGGAGAGGAAUGCGGAAUUCCAGGUGUAGCGGUGAAAUGCGUAGAUAUCGGGAGGAACACCAGAGGCGAAGGCGGCGACCUGGAUAGGUACUGACACUCAACUACGAAAGCGUGGGGGAGCAAACAGG
rnacentral:rRNA from 1 species